UUCCUUAAAAAAAAAAAAAGGUGACCUUAUCUUCUUUUUCAGGAGACCUUUCAAACCCUUCUUCUUCUUCAGCACAUUCCCUAAUCCCCCCAUGACCUAGAGCCGCCACCAGUCUUCCUUCCCCCGCCAAAAACUCGCUGGUAAAAGAGCCGCCGACCAACUCCUCCCAUCUCGAGCCGCCUCCACGACCCCGAUCAUCUUCUGCUGCCCAGUGACUCAAUUGUUUUCUUUAAGCACCAUGAACCUCUAAGCUUUGCCAUCCAUGGACAUAUCAAAACCAGUCACAAAACCAAUUUACAACACCAUUUCGGAUCAAGAGUUCAACGAUUUCAAAGUUAUUGCUGUCCGAAUCUGAGUCAAGUUCGAUUUUCGAUUUUUUGAGGUGUCCCCUUUGCGGCUCUUGGUCAAUAGUGUUCCUGGUUCAGUUAAGGUUCAGUCUAGCUUUCGUCGCUCGCUUUUCAGUCUUGUGCUACCAAACAAUUGAGUUUAAAGGUAUGGAUUCAUUUACCAAAGCUCGAGCAUGAUAGAUACCCCAAGAUCAUUCCAGUCAGGACCGUCGCAUUAAGGAGCUUGUUUGAGGCGACUUUUUAUGUUUUGAGUCUGUCAUUCAUGUUAUCUUUUACUUUCUAGUAUUUUCCAAUAGUAUUGAGUCUUUUAUCUGGUGUCAGUUUGUCAUAAUUUAGUUGGGUUUGUCGAAUCUUUUGUUAUCAUACUUCCUAUUAUGUAUUUGAAAACUAAAAAAAGUUAUAAAUAAAAAAUCCAAAAAGAUUUUUAUUUCUA